GAGGGUAUAGCUCAGUGGUAGAGUGUGUGCUUAGCACACAUGAGGUCCAGGGUCCUGGGUUCAAUCCCCAGUAACUCCA
rnacentral:tRNA from 1 species